rnacentral:misc_RNA from 1 species
CCCUAUGUCGCUCCGAUUCGUCCCUCCCCCCCACCCCCCGCCCAAUCCCGCGCACACACUCCCCCUUCUCCCCUUUUCCCGGCCCCGGCCCUGAGGUUUGAAACCACCCCCGCGACGCGCCGACUAUGUCCCCCCGACCCUUCGAUGCCUCUGCUGGUCGGGAUCCCCCCCUCCCCCGUGCCCAUGUCAUGUCGUCUUUUCCCAAAAACUUGGCAAAGGCAUGGAAACUUGGAAGCUUGACCGAAGACACGUGACGCGUCCCACCGCCCGUGCCAUGACGCGUGCCACGGGGCCUUGAUUGGUGCCCGCGAGCCAAGCCAAGGUGGCACGGGGCCUUGCAUGGUGCCCGCCCGCGAGCCAAGCCAAGGUGGCACGGGGCCUUGCAUGGUGCCCGCCCGCGAGCCAAGCCAAGGUGCCACGGGGCCUUGCAUGGUGCCCGCCCGCGAGCCAAGCCAAGGUGGCACGGGGCCUUGCUUGGUGCCCGCGAGCCAAGCCAAGGUGGCACGGGGCCUUGCAUGGUGCCCGCCCGCGAGCCAAGCCAAGGUGGCACGAGGCCUUGCAUGGUGCCCGCCCGCGAGCCAAGCCAAGGUGCCACGGGGCCUUGCAUGGUGCCCGCCCGCGAGCCAAGCCAAGGUGCCACGGGGCCUUGCUUGGUGCCCGCGAGCCAAGCCAAGGUGCCACGGGGCCUUGCUUGGUGCCCGCGAGCCAAGCCAAGGUGCCACGGGGCCUUGCUUGGUGCCCGCGAGCCAAGCCAAGGUGCCACGGGGCCUUGCAUGGUGCCCGCCCGCGAGCCAAGCCAAGGUGCCACGGGGCCUUGCUUGGUGCCCGCGAGCCAAGCCAAGGUGGCACGGGGCCUUGCAUGGUGCCCGCCCGCGAGCCAAGCCACGGGGCCUUGCUUGGUGCCCGCGAGCCAAGCCAAGGUGCCACGGGGCCUUGCAUGGUGCCCGCCCGCGAGCCAAGCCAAGGUGCCACGGGGCCUUGCUUGGUGCCCGCGAGCCAAGCCAAGGUGGCACGGGGCCUUGCAUGGUGCCCUCCCGCGAGCCAAGCCAAGACACGCAACGCGUGCCACGGGGCCUUGCUUGGUGCCCGCGAGCCAAGCCAAGGUGGCACGAGGCCUUGCAUGGUGCCCGCCCGCGAGCCAAGCCAAGGUGCCACGGGGCCUUGCUUGGUGCCCGCGAGCCAAGCCAAGGUGGCACGAGGCCUUGCAUGGUGCCCGCCCGCGAGCCAAGCCAAGGUGCCACGGGGCCUUGCUUGGUGCCCGCGAGCCAAGCCAAGGUGGCACGGGGCCUUGCAUGGUGCCCGCCCGCGAGCCAAGCCAAGGUGCCACGGGGCCUUGCUUGGUGCCCGCGAGCCAAGCCAAGGUGGCACGAGGCCUUGCAUGGUGCCCGCCCGCGAGCCAAGCCAAGGUGCCACGCCCGCGAGCCAAGCCAAGGUGCCACGGGGCCUUGCUUGGUGCCCGCGAGCCAAGCCAAGGUGGCACGAGGCCUUGCAUGGUGCCCACCCGCGAGCCAAGCCAAGGUGCCACGGGGCCUUGCCUUGGUGCCCGCGAGCCGAGCCAAGACAUGCGACGCGUGCCAUGUGGCCUUGCUUGGUGCCCACGAGCCGAGCCAAGACACAUGACGCGUGCCACCUCCCGUGCCACGACAGCUACAAGGACCCUCGAUAUGGUGCCAGAGGCUGUGCUAGGACACGUGACCCAUGCCAUGAUGCGUGCCACGGCCCGAGGCACUACACGUCUCGCGUGCCACGACCCCCAUUCCAUGGUGCCAGGACACCUAUAAUGACCCAUUCCAUGGUGGUAGAGGCCGUGCCAAGACACAUGGUGCGUGCCCUAUCUGGAUUUCGACCCUGAUGCCUUGACAAGGUUCCGGAUUAUGGUCUAUUGCUAAUCACGGAAUGUUAUUAAUCCAUGGAUUCAUGUUGCAAAGGUUGUUCGCUAUUUUGUUAUAUGGUUUUUUUAAGUAAAAAAAUUUUAAAAUAAAUUUUGUUUGGACAAUCCUUGGAUUCUUUUUUAAGAUUUCUUUUUCCCAUAUCAAAUACAAUUUUUAAAAAUAUUUAAAUUAAUUUUUACUUAUUUUCCCCCCAUUUUUCUAAGUAAAAAAGCUAAAAAAAAAUAUUUUUUGGCCAAGAGAGCUUCACCAAUCCUUGAAUUCGUCUUCCAUAUAUUUUUCCCAUGUGAAAUACAUUUUUUAAAAAUAUUUACACUAUUUUUUCCUCAUUUUUACUAUUUUUUAAGUAAAAAAUUCGGAAAAAAAAAAUUAUUUUUCAGAGAUAAGUUGCAUUAAUUCAUGGAUUCCUAUUCCAGAUAUUUUUCCCAUGUGAAAUACAAUUUUUAAAAAUAUUUUCACUAUUUUUUGGUAUUUUUUACUAUUUUUCCCUAUUUUUCCCUAUUUUUCGGACAAAAAAAUUAAAAUAAAUAUUUUCUGGGCCGAAAUUUUUUUUUCUUUUUUUCCUUGGGUUCAUAUAAUUAUUAUAAAGAGAUUCAGCAAAAAAAACGGAAUUAAAAACUCUUUUUUCAUUAAAAAAUGGCAUUAUGUCUCCUCAAGCAUGGGUGAUGUCUCCUCAAGGCAUUUCCAAAAUGGCCCAAAAUGCUCUUUAAGGGGGGGGUGCUGUCCUCAAUGGGCUGGCAGCACCACCCGCCCAGGCACGCUGCAGCGCGUGCCGCCCUUGGCGUGCAGGCUGCCCAUGCCACCCUAGGCAUGGCGCCCCCGCAUAUGCCACCCUCAAGCCCACGACACGCUAAUGCGAAGAGAGCACGCCCUCGACACCGUGGGAAGCCCUCGCACGCAACAGCAGUCACCCCGUGCCCCGUACACGCUGCACCCCGGACGCGUCCCAUGGCCCCCAUGCGGACACGCCCUCCCCCCCAUGCAACGAGUGCCCUCCCCGCGCACUCGGCCCCGUCCCUCCCCGUCUCGGCUCGACCCCUCGAGCGAGCAUGUUGCCUCGGAAAAACGUGCUAGUGGCCAACGUCGCGGCUCACCCCGGGGGGCUCACCCAUGCCUCCCGCCCGACGUUGCCCAUCGAAAGGCACACGGACGCCCCUCCCCCCAUGCAACGAGUGCCCUCCCCGGGUGCUCGGCCCCCCGUCUCGGCUCGUCGAGGAGCCCUCAAGCCCUCGAGCGAGCAUGUUGCCUCGGAAAAAACGUGCCAGUGGCCAACGUCGCGGCUCACCCCGGGGGGCUCACCCAUGCCUCCCGCCCGACGUUGCCCAUCGAAAGGCACACGGAUGCCCCUCCCCCCAUGCAACGAGUGCCCUCCCCGGGUGCUCGGCCCCCCCGUCUCGGCUCGUCGAGGAGCCCUCAAGCCCUCGAGCGAGCAUGUUGCCUCGGAAAAAACGUGCCAGUGGCCAACGUCGCGGCUCACCCCGGGGGCUCACCCAUGCCUCCCGCCCGACGUUGCCCAUCGAAAGGCACACGGAUGCCCCUCCCCCCCAUGCAACGAGUGCCCUCCCCGGGCACUCGGCCCCGUCCCGGCUCGUCGAGGAGCCCUCAAGCCCUCGAGCGAGCAUGUUGCCUCGGAAAGGAGCCAGAUGCAUCGUCGCCAUGCCUAUAUCGGUCCUACGAAGGCUUCACUCGUUGCUCCCGUGUGCUGGUCAGGAGUCGCCUCCGGACGAGUCGCGGUUCGAUGCGUGAUGCCGUGUCGUAGUGAACCUGAUGGCGUGUGAGUGGUGUUUGGGUCGCGUGGGUCGGCAGGCUCCUUGCUCGUGCAACGAACUGUCGCCGCACCGCCCUCUUCAUUCUAAGCCUCAAGCGCUGCAACAAGCCUUGGGCGUCGCGAUGCCGUGGUUCCUGUGUUGCCUUCCUAACGGAUGGAAUUGUCCCUCGAACGUUGCCUAUCUCCGCCCGGCUCCCGCUCACGCGGUGCGGGCGGACCUCGAAAGCGGUCGCCGCGUCCCAUGGUCGCCCCACGCAUGCGCACGCAUGAGAGGGGUCGAGCAUGGCCCGCGACGGCCGCUCGUGCUCUCGGAUGCGGAACCUUAAAACGAGCGUGGGGUCUCUCGGGAUCCCGUACUCGCUCGAGCUAAGCGUUCGUCGCUAGACGCGUACGACGGCCGUCCCCGUCUUUGCCCUCCCGUCCCGCUCCCCUCGGGGGGCGUCGGUCAGGCGCAUGCGGUGCCGGCGUCGCACAGGAAUGC